GGGCGGAUGUAGCCAAGCUGAUUAAGGCAGUG
rnacentral:tRNA from 1 species